rnacentral:tRNA from 1 species
UGGAGGUUAGUUUAACAAAAAUUAUUGAUUUCGACUCAACAGACCCUGUCUAAUCAGGACCUCUAAA